UACGUAGGGGGCUAGCGUUGUCCGGAAUCAUUGGGCGUAAAGCGCGCGUAGGCGGCCAGAUAAGUCCGGUGUGAAAGUCACAGGCUCAACCUGUGAAUGCCGCUGGAAACUGUCUGGCUUGAGUCCGGAAGGGGCGAGUGGAAUUCCUGGUGUAGCGGUGAAAUGCGCAGAUAUCAGGAGGAACACCGGUGGCGAAGGCGGGUCUCUGGGCAGUUACUGACGCUGAGGAGCGAAAGCGUGGGGAGCGAACAGG
rnacentral:rRNA from 1 species